GGCGCCUGAUUUUGCGUGCUGUGCCAUAGGCUGUGUGUUUCUGCUGUGUGUUUGUGCUGUCUCCAAGACAAGGCCUUUAUUCUAUGACAAUGCAGCCUACCUCGUGUAAGAAAUGACAAACGUACACCUUUAGGCAAGCUUUUUACAGCUUGAGUAGCAUCCGUGAUGCCCUUUGGGAAGUCCCACCAAGCAGCCGCUUCUUUUUCGUAGUGACCGGCUGCCACGCUCUACUGACUUUCUUGCUAAAGGCCCCUGCAGGCCGCCUUGGACGCCGAGCUUUGUGCCUACAAGAGCAGCAUCCAGGCAUUCCAGCUGUCCAGCAAAUGCAGGUGGUGCAGUUACAUCAAGGAUACCAGCACCGCUGCAACUCCUGUACCUUUAAGGCGGAUAAACUGAUCUGAAGCACACACCAGGAUCCAUACAGGGCAGCGUCUGCUUGAAUUCUAUUUGUGCCCCGGGGCUUCUCCUAAACGUCCAAGCUGAAGCAAAACCUGUGCACCCGCCCAAGCAAAAGGCAAUUUGAGUUCCCUUAAUGCCCUCAGAGCUUCUCAGAAAAAGUUAAUCUGAAACACCUGUGCAUCCACACAGGUGACAUGUCAUUUCAUUGCCAGUUAUGCCCUAAGAGCUUUACCCAAAAAGGUACUCUGAACCGACAUCUGCGCAUCCACACAGGCGAGAGGCCGUUUGAGUGCUCUUCAUGCCCUCAGAGCUUCUCACAAAAAAGUGCUCUGAACCAACAUCUGCGCAUCCACACAGGCGAGAGGCCGUUUGAGUGCCCUUCAUGCCCUCAGAGCUUCUCACAAAAGAGUGCUCUGAACCAACACUUGCGCACCCACACAGGAGAGAGGCCAUUUGAGUGCCCUUCAUGCCCUCAGAGC